rnacentral:lncRNA from 1 species
AUUUUCCAUCAGGACAUUACCUGUUUAGGAACAAUUCCUUUAACACUAAAACACAGCACAGUGUACAGAAACAUACAUAUUGCCUCAGAAUAAAAAUAUUAAAAAAGUAUUUGUACCUUUUUAACUCACAGUUUAUAUCUCACAAUUAAUAACUCACAAUCGUAAGAUAUAAGCUUAUAGAAGCUUGCCUCUGCCCCAAGAAAUGCAAAAAAGCAAGAAAGAAAGAAAGAAAGAAGGCAAGAAAAUGGCAGCAUUAAAUCUCACAAAUGAUAUAUUUUCCUCACAUUGCUGAUAUUUUUUUCUCAUAAUUGCAAGUGAAAAGUCUGAUUUGUGAGAAAUAAACUCAGAUAUGCAAUAAAAUUAAUUCAGAAUUGCAAGUUUAAAAAGUCUGAGUCAUGAGAAAUGAACUUAGAAUUUUGAGAAAUAAACUGUGAGAGAAAGUUCUGAGACUGUGAGAUAUUAACUUCAGACAAAAGUCUGAACUGUACGAUACAAAGUUACAAUUACCUUUUUUAUACUUUAUACUGUGUCGGAGACAAGCUUCCAUAACAAUGUAAUGUGUAAUGAAAUAACACAGAAAAACUCAAUAUCUGUGAUAAGAAGCACUUUAUAUUUUCAUUGAACACUUUUAGUGAUGCGUCCAGAUAAAUGAUCGUUAAUACUACACACAGGAGACUUGUUCUCGUGAAUUGUAUUACUAUUGGCUGAUGGGAUAAUGAUUUAUAAUGUGUGUCAUUAUGUUGUUAACGUAUUACAGCUUAUUUGAUGAUGAUGUUCAUUCACAUCUUCAGGUGAAAUCUGCUGAAGCUUCAGCUAAAGUCACUCCAGACUAUAAGGUUUGUUUAGGGCGACUGUACUUCAGUAAUCAGUUUAUUGAUGUUAGAGAUGAGCAACAAUUGAACUCGUUUAAUUCUCAUAUUAGGAUGAUUUACCGUCCUCAUCGAAACACGCGGAUCUCGUGGCUUUGGGAGAGAAGAAAGCAGAAGAUGUGGACUGCAAACCGAAGCAGCUGCAGAAAUUCAAGCCUCCCGUGCCACGGCGACCAUCAAAGGUGAUUUAUUCUGUGUAUGCAUUUUUAUGAGAAAUAUAAUGUGUGCUCUAGACUGAAAGCCUGGACCUAUUCUUAAAACAUCCAGGAAUUAAAUUACACAGAAUAAUUCAAUUAAGUUUUAAUCUGCAUAACUCUUAUUUUCAUCUUUGCUCUGGCAUUAUCUAUUGUGUUUUUUAUUUAUUUAUUUAGUUUUUAUUUUUUUUACUAAAUUAAAAAAAAAAAAAAUGUUGUUAAUUUAAAUCAAAUAAAUUUUAACUGUUUAUAAAUGUUCAAAAAUAAUGAAACUAUAAAAGAAAACAUAUCAAAAUGAUUUUAUUUCAGCCAGUUGCAAAGGCAAAAUUUCUUCUUUACUUUCACUGGAAGUACUGACAUUAACUAAUACUAAAGUAAAAACGAAUAACUACAUAAAUGUGUGUUUUUUUUUUUUUUUAAAUGAAUUAAAAUGACAAAAACAUGCAACAAAAUUUCUAAUACUUUAAAAUUAAAAUGAAGACAAGAUAAAAAAAAAAUGAAUAAAAACUAUAAUAGCAGUAUGUCAUUUUCUGCUGAUUUCUUCAGGAUAUGUCUGCAGUUGCUCUAAAAUCGAUGAGUGGUCCUCCUCUGAUGGCGGCAAAGGUAUUUUCACUGGCCUUUUGCAGAUAUUUUUUGCCACGCAUAGUGAAGACAAACCAGAAAAGAUAGAAACAUGAAGCAUGUCAUUAUACAAAGUUGUGUCCUGAUAUGUCACGUAGAUACUCUCGCACACACACACACACACACACACACACACACACACACACACACACACACACACACUCACUUCUGCAUUCAGAGAGUGUGUCUGAUAAGAGUAAUCUGCUCAUGUGAUCUCAGCCUGACAGCCAGGAGUCAAAGCAUUCCUUCCAAACCCAUCAAAGAAACACGCUGGGAGCUUUCACAUUAUAGAAAGUCUGUAAUUCAGUGCAAUUCAAUUCAGUUGUGUCUACAGCAGAUGAAUCUGGAAUCAAAAUAAUAUAGAAUAAAAAAAAUGCAAUUAAAUUAAAUCUACAAGAGAUGAAUCUGUUGUAUAGAAAUGAAAACCAAUGAAAUCAUGUAACUCUUUCUUAUUGUACAUCUUUUCCCAAAGCAGCAUAGAGUAGUGAACUAAGUCCAUGUUUCUAAAGUUUUAUCUAAAUUCAUGAAGUUUUAGACACUUAUUUUUUUAAAGAAAACAAGCAGUUAGAAAAUGAAUAGAGAGUGCUUGACUUAGAGGGUCAAGGCAACAAAUAGAUAAAAUAGAAUUUAGAUAGAGAGUCAAAAAAUAGAGGGUCAAAUAUAUAUAUAUACAAACAAGCAACAAAAAGAAUACUUUAUAAUAACAAUUCAGCAGAAAUGCAUAGAAAGAGAUAUUGUGGAUUGGUAUUGUCAUUGUCAGUGCAGGUCUGUGUCCAGCAGAUGGCCUCAAUGUGUGACGAUUCAGCAGCUUCAAAACACUGCAUCAGUGAAUCAAAGUAGUUUCUGAACUGAAUUGAAUCACUCUCAUGAUAGAUGACUUUACUGUACCUACAGUAUGUAGAAUAAAAAAGCUUUUUCCACAACGCUGAUGUCUUCAAAGUAACACCUAUCAUCUUCUGCUGUAGAUGCCAGACAUCGACACACAUCUGGAUGAUGAAGAGAGAAACACAGAGGAGACUGACGGACAGGUAGAGAUCUUUCUGUGUUGUUUUCCAUUUUUACAUUAAUGCAUUAUUUUACUCACUGUUGG